UAUUUUCUUUUGCUUUCUUCCCUCCCUCUUUGUCUCUUCUCUUCCUUUUUGUUUCUUUUUUUUCUCUGUAUAUCUAUAUGCAUAAAAUAUGUAUAUAUACAAAUGUAUGUAUUUGUGCGUGAGUGCGUGUGAGAGAAAUAAAUAAUUAUAAUCCAAAUCCAAAAAGACCCAUAACAAGACUGAAAUGCUAAAAUAAUAUUUUUUGUCUGAUUGUUAAGUACAUUUUUCAAUUCUCUGAACCGUGCGCUAUUAUUUUCGGUUUCAAACACAGCUUUUAAGGGAAUGCUAAAGUGGUACGAAUUAUCAACAUUAUCGAAUUAUUGCAACUCGUCAAAUUGGCUUUAUAAAAUUAUAAUAUCUUUUUACACAAUUGAAAUAUGUUAAAAGAAAGAGCGUAAUAGUAUAUUUUAUAAAAGAAUUAAGCAAAAUGCACUCGUAAAACUGUCACCUGAGGUUAAUUUUAUCUUAAUAGUUGUGUAGCUCGUACGUAUAAAAUGAGAUUUAUGCUGUUAAGAAAGCAGCGAAAACAACACUGUGCAUGUAAAAUAACAAUUGAAUGCCUGAUAAAAAAAAUAUUGACUGAUUCAUUACAUAUGUAUAUUUAGCUUAGCGAAGAUAAACCGUUUUUAGCAGAAACAGUAGUUGUGUCAAAUAGUUGUAAUGAAGAUUUUAAUAAAAUAAAAACUUUCUUUGGUCACGAAUGCAGAAAAGAAAAGUCUGGACGUUUCUCGGUAAGUUAAUCUAGAAAAUAAUAUUUUAAGAAUAAUGAUAGAAAGAAAAAAAUUGUGUUACUAUCUUUAAUAAGAAUUAAAGUUCAAAAGGUACAUUAUUAGAUGAUAAAUAGCAUGUUAAAAUAAAAAACACUUCAACACUUCCUCUAUUUUGAUUUAGCACAAAGUCAUUAAUUUUAUGAAGCAUGGUUUUGGAAAUUUUAUUAACAAAUCUGCAGUCUGUUUUUUUUUCAUCUGUUAAAUAUUGAAGUUUUGUUCUAUGAAUCGUUUACGUGCAUAAUGGUAUCGAAUUUUGAUAUGUUUGCUCCUCUUAUAGAAAUUGGAUCAUCUUGAUUCUUUGUUAAAUAUAUGGCGCUCAUUUAUCACAUAAAAUGGUAGGCUUGUUCGUUAAAAUUUUCUUAUAAAUUCUUAUAAAUCCUUAACCAGACAAAUUGUUUAGCAGUUUCACUAACAGCCACGUAUUUAGUUUAUCCAAUAGUUUCAAAAUUUUAUUUUUUAUUAGCGGUUGCAUUUCAUUAUCCAUAACACGGCACUGUCUGUAGAAUUUUGAGCGUCUUGAAUAUCUGGAAUUUUUUUCAACCAUUUAAAAAUAAUCCUUAAGAUGAACAGGUCUUUUCUCGAUUUUUUUUUAUCUUAGAGUUUCAUAGUAUUCAGCUUUUGUAUUGUCAUUUUUUGGUUUUCCUUUGAUAUCUUUAGUAUUUUCGUAUUUCUUUUCUUUAGUUUUCUCAAAAAAAUUAUUUUUUUUUUGUAUGUCGAUAUUAUUAGGUCAGUCAAAUGAAAACGAAACAGACUGUAUAACGAGCAUGGCACGAACGUUGGUAACCCUUUUCUGUGUUUAUGGACGUGACGACCUCUGUUGGGAAUUAGAGGAAAACGGCACGAAUGUUCAUUGCUGUGUCAUUUGUUUGUUAGACGUGCUCGAAGUGAGGUCAGCGCGUCGUGUGUGCGUCCGACAUCACUAUGGAAAUCUAGAAAGAAGAACAGCGAGGUGUAAUGCGGUUUUUGACUGUGAAAGGGGUGUCAGGAAAUGCAAUUUAAGCCCAAAUAUCUACUGAGUAUGGCAAACACAGUAUGUCACGUGCGCGUGUGUUUGCGUGGAAUAAACGAUUUUCUCGAAUUUACCUCGCUUUUCUUUGAUAUCACUUCGAGCACGUCUAACAAAGUGACACAGCGGUGAACAUUUGCGCCGUUCUCCCCUAUUCCCAAUAGAAGUCACGUCCUCAAAUAGGGUAUAGAAAAGGGUUACCAAUGUCCGUACCAUGUUAUACAGGGUGCGGCGCCAAAAUCCGGACAAACUUCAAUUUGAAAUUUCCGCCGUUUUAUACCAUUGGUAGAUAUCGCGAUUGGCGUUCCAAUAGCUUGACGUAUGUACUAAACCAUUAUAACUUUCGAAACAGCGGCAAUAUCGAAACCAAGUGCGGAGUAUAAUUGAAGACCCGCAAUUAUUGAAAGUGUUCGAAUUAAAAUUAUUUAUAUUACAAAUAUGUUAUUGGACCGAUAGUGUAACAACACAAUGAUAGUAAGAAAGCCUUCAUUGGUCGUAGCUAGGUCUUAAUGCUUUUAUUUUUAUUUAUGUGAUUUUAUAUACUUCUCCGAAUUCAACCAGAAUGUGCGCCGAAUUAAUUUUUGGUCAUAACACAGCAUGUCGAAUAAGAAUUAGUAAUAUCACUAUUUAUGUUGCAUCAAGUAUUAUAUUAAAUUAAUUAAUUAAUUUAAUAUAAUACUAUAUAGCAUGUUCACCAUAAGCUUCUUGAAGUAAUUGGUAUGAUUCAGCAGCAGUUUUCUUCAAAUAAAAACAAAAAAUUAACAUUGUCCGCGAAUGCUCUUUAUUUGGCACAAAUUUUGACAUAUUAAACACAGCAAAACAAUACUAUGCAAACACUUUUUCAAUUUAUUACUUGUGCGCGUUGAUUCUUGUUGAUGACACAACAAAAUGGCAUAUACAUCAAGUCUUUAUACUACACACUGCAUUGGUGCACUAUCUAUUAUUUCAAAUCCGCAUUUCAUACUUGUUUAUCUGGUAGUGUUGCACGUAAAUAUACAUGAGAGCUUAAACUAUGUUACUCCACGAGAAUAUACGAGGUGUAAGUUCUAUUAACGAUUCUAUAAAACUGAGGUCAGAGGCAUGAGCAUGCGUUCUAUGGAGACAUACGGUACGAGUUCCUCUGAGUCGCUCUACAAAAGUACAAGAAAGUGUAUGUCGCAACGCGAGCACGUGUUACGCGGUUGUCAAUGUCUGCACUUGCGGCCGGAUGGGCCAAUGGGUAUGAGGCGCGGCCACAUUAUAAGUAAUAACAGUAGGUUCACUCGGUGUCGGCAUCUUUGAUCUGAUGACUACAAGAUUGCUAUGUUGCUGGUUAUGCGUGGAUUCAAUAGUGUUUGCGAGCGCAGUGGUUUAAAUUAACCUGAGUCGGGUUAAUUAACAUUAUGUUGAAAUCAUCCAAUCAGAACUUAACCGCCAUAGAGCUGGUUGUGUGAUUUGAUCAUGCGCAAAGGACAUCUUUCGGCGCGUUUUAAGCCGGAGUGAACUUACUGUUCUUACUUAUACUGUGGCGCGGCUAUCGGGUAUCGACGCAAGCGGACGUAAGUUGAUAGCGCAUGACGUGGGUUGGCGCGAGCGGCGAUGGGCUAAUGAGCGCAAAACACGGCCAGUGCUUGCAACAAAAUGCACAUUUCGGGUCAAUUCCUGAAACGACGCCCGCUCUCUCCCCACUACUUGAGGUUUGACAGCCGAGUUGGCGAUCGCGCGCGGAGCGCUGUAGCCUCGGGGACGUCGCCAUCUCAAAAAUAUCUUUUUACAUCACCCAUGAGAUACUAUUGUUGAUGCGUUUUUUUACGUGGUUUCCUCGGAAGAUUUAAUCUACUGAAAAUAAAGACAAAUAAAUAUGGCUUAGCAGGAAAGCAAAAUAUAUAUUACAUAUAUAACUAGAAACCAAAAAACAAAAAAACAGGUAAAAGCAA